rnacentral:rRNA from 1 species
UGGGGAAUAUUGGACAAUGGAGGAAACUCUGAUCCAGCAAUUCUGUGUGUGUGAAGAAGGUUUUAGGACUGUAAAACACUUGUAGGAGGGAAGAAAAAAAUGACGGUACCUACAGAAGAAGCAACGGCUAAAUACGUGCCAGCAGCCGCGGUAAUACGUAUGUUGCGAGCGUUAUCCGGAAUUAUUGGGCUUAAAGGGCAUCUAGGCGGUAAGACAAGUUGAAGGUGAAAACCUGUGGCUCAACCAUAGGCUUGCCUACAAAACUGUUGAGCUAGAGUACUGGAAAGGUGGGUGGAACUACACGAGUAGAGGUGAAAUUCGUAGAUAUGUGUAGGAAUGCCGAUGAUGAAGAUAACUCACUGGACAGAAACUGACGCUGAAGUGCGAAAGCUAGGGGAGCAAACAGG